rnacentral:rRNA from 1 species
GACGAACGCUGGCGGCGUGCCUAAUACAUGCAAGUCGAGCGAGCUUGCCUAGAUGAAUUUGGUGCUUGCACCAGAUGAAACUAGAUACAAGCGAGCGGCGGACGGGUGAGUAAUACGUGGGUAACCUGCUCAAGAGACUGGGAUAACACCUGGAAACAGAUGCUAAUACCGGAUAACAACACUAGACGCAUGUCUAGAGUUUAAAAGAUGGUUCUGCUAUCACUCUUGGAUGGACCUGCGGUGCAUUAGCUAGUUGGUAAGGCAACGGCUUCCCAAGGCAAAGAUUCAUAGCCGAGUUGAGAGGCUGAUCGGCCACAAUGGGACUGAGACACGGCCCAAACUCCUACGGGAGGCAGCCGUAGGGAAUCUUCCGCAAUGGGCGCAAGUCUGAUGGAGCAACGCCGCGUGAGUGAAAAAGGGUUUCGGCUCUGAAAGCUCUGUUGGUAGUGAAGAAAGAUAGAGGUAGUAACUCGCCUUUAUUUGACGGUAAUUACUUAGAAAGUCACGGCUAACUACGUG